GCCCUGCUCGCUUAGGCGCGGGGCCUCAAAGGCCGAGUCCACGCCGCAUUCGCCUAUGCAGCCCAGGCUGUUCUGCCUGAAGGUGGAGAGCGGCUUACAGCCUGGAGCAUGCACCCGCCAGGCGUCUGAGUAGCGGCUGUCCAAGGCAGCGUCAGGGCUGCCAGCCAGGAAGUCGCCGUCGCUGUUGUAUUCAAGAAUCUUGCCGGUGCGCACAGCGAUGUGCGUCUCGAUCUCCUCCCGCGCACGCUCCACGUUGCCCGGUGCGCCGGUUAUCUCAAACACGGGGUCGCGGUCCCGGCUGGGAGUGAUGAUGUACGUGUUGGUCUGCUGCUGGAUGCGUUUGAUGGUCGCUCCCUUGGGGCCCACCACCAGUCCCACCACGCGGUAGGGUACUCGUACACGGAUGGUCACUUGGCCUGGCAGAGCAGGGGCCACGCCAAAGGCGGCGCCAGACUUGUUGCGUGAGGCUCUUAUCAUGGAGAAGUGCUCAGCUGCAGAGAUGAUCUCCCGCCGGGCUGUGGCCACGUCUUCCCGCCUCCCAGUCACCAUGAACACUGGCUCCUCACCUCGCACAGGUGUCUUGAUGUAGGUGUUGGUUUUGGCCCUCAGAGCCUUAAUCUUGCAGCCUGGACAGAGUGGGGAAAAAUUUUACAGGACAAAGGAGUUUGUACCUUCCCCCAGAAUCCCAGCUUCCCGAAAAUCCUUCAGUUGAUCCAGUGACACCUUCAAGACCACAAAUACAACCUACCCCCCAAUUUGACC
rnacentral:lncRNA from 1 species